rnacentral:lncRNA from 1 species
GUAUAUAGACUAAGCCACUCUACAUUAAACUAUUAGGUCUAAGAAAUCUGUAGGUGUCCUAGGUUUAAUUGCUUACUAACUUGAUUGCAAUUAACACUUAACCACAACUAAUUCUUCUCAUCUAUCAUUUCUAGAUCUAGGGCUUUCUCAAGGUUCUCACCUUUAGAACUUCUUUCUUUCUUCUUCUUCUCUUUUCUUUCUCUUUCUUCUUAAAAAAAAAAUUGAACCACACACAU